rnacentral:rRNA from 1 species
GGGCCCGCACAAGCGGUGGAGCAUGUGGUUUAAUUCGAUGCAACGCGAAGAACCUUACCUACUCUUGACAUCCAGAGAAGCCAGCGGAGACGCAGGUGUGCCUUCGGGAGCUCUGAGACAGGUGCUGCAUGGCUGUCGUCAGCUCGUGUUGUGAAAUGUUGGUUAAGUCCCGCAACGAGCGCAACCCUUAUCCUUGUUUGCCAGCGAGUAAUGUCGGGAACUCCAGGGAGACUGCCGGUGAUAAACCGGAGGAAGGUGGGGACGACGUCAAGUCAUCAUGGCCCUUACGAGUAGGGCUACACACGUGCUACAAUGGCGCAUACAGAGGGCGGCGAACUUGCGAGAGUGAGCGAA